AGUGAACGCUGGCGGUAGGCCUAACACAUGCAAGUCGAACGGCAGCACAGUAAGAGCUUGCUCUUACGGGUGGCGAGUGGCGGACGGGUGAGGAAUACAUCGGAAUCUACUUUUUCGUGGGGGAUAACGUAGGGAAACUUACGCUAAUACCGCAUACGACCUACGGGUGAAAGCAGGGGAUCUUCGGACCUUGCGCGAUUGAAUGAGCCGAUGUCGGAUUAGCUAGUCGGCGGGGUAAAGGCCUACCAAGGCGACGAUCCGUAGCUGGUCUGAGAGGAUGAUCAGCCACACUGGAACUGAGACACGGUCCAGACUCCUACGGGAGGCAGCAGUGGGGAAUAUUGGACAAUGGGCGCAAGCCUGAUCCAGCCAUACCGCGUGGGUGAAGAAGGCCUUCGGGUUGUAAAGCCCUUUUGUUGGGAAAGAAAAGCAGCAGGUUAAUACCCCGCUGUUCUGACGGUACCCAAAGAAUAAGCACCGGCUAACUUCGUG
rnacentral:rRNA from 1 species